UUAUUUCCGUUAAUUUAACUUUGAUGGUGUUUAAAUAAAGAAAAUAUCACUGUGUUGGUGUACUGCUGUGCACUGCUUUGGAUAAAAAUACACUUUUUUCUUUCUGCUAUUAAAUGUUUUUUUUAUUUUAGUGCUCAGUGCUGUCAUCUCUCCACUUGCUUCCUCCAACAUGCAUCUCAGCAGAAAGCAGGAAAGGCAGACAUCCUUUUAGCUCAGGAUGACCACUCAAAUGCAUAGAAAGAAUGAAAGCUUAGUUUCAUAAUAUGGGAGCUAUUUUGUUCUAUUUCUCAGAAUCAGAAGUGAUGAGAAUUGCAGAGCAGGUGCCAUUCUUCUCCCUGACUUGCUGCAAGCUGCAGUUUGUUGGACUUUUAAGUGACUGAUUCCACAUGAGUAGUUCAAGAUAAAGGAAGUGAUUCAGUGCCCAAAAGUCCUAUUAUCAAGAAUAUACAACCUGUUAAAUGCCUGCUACUGGAUGAAGAUAGUGAAUUUGUGAAAAAAAACUCAAUCAAAAUAAUCCUGCCUAUGUUGUAAUUAAAAGUGUAGGAGAUAACGUGAGUGGCAUGCAUUGCUUGGGCUGUCAGCUGUAAAACAAACACUAUCUUCUGCUUUAUUGCAUGAUUUAUUUCAUUUUUAUCUGCUUAAAAAAAUACUCAUUAGGGAUGAGCUGCAGGAGAAUGAUUUUUGGACAGCUAUGGGGUGAAAUGAGCACACAAUGAAGGGUGACCUUUCAAAGGGGGAUUAUCUAUAAAUAGCAAUGGUUAUCCCUCACAGCCUUCUGACAUAAGCCUGCUGGGAGUAUGAAAAAGGAGACCCUUUCCACCAGUUCCUCCAACAUGAUUUUAGAUUGGCACAUGACAUGUUUUGGCCAUGAAUAGCUGAGGAGAAUUUGCAAAGGGAUCCAGCAAAAAGCCUUAGCAGCUGUCUGGCUGUCGAUAUCCCCCAGGGUUUAAAAAUUAGCUCAGAACUUCCUUCUCUUUGCCCAUGAACAAUGACACGCACUUUACUAGAAAAGUAAAGAUUUCAUGUUUAAAAUAUAUAAUCUUGGGAGCUCAUCUAUUAAAAAAAAAAAAAAACUAUAUCAGUUUUAAAAUUAGCCAAGCAGUGUCAGCAGAGUUUAUUCAAAUGCCAAAGGGCUUUAGGAUCUGACUGCAGUUCUUAACUACUGUUUUAACUUCUGCUUUGCACCAUGGAUCCAUCAAAUCCUUUAUUUGGAAUGAGGAAGAAUUGGUAUUCCUGGGCAUUUACUAUUUUUAAAGUGAAAAAGGCCAACAGAAAGCCUGCAUGUUCACUUUAAAAUAUCCUAUCCUUCUGGACUAUUUCACUUUCUCUGAAAUCACUGAUUCAGCUGAUGGUGACUCCGCUGCUUGUGUUUCGUUAUCUGAAAAGCUGCUUCCCGAGUAGAAGAAACAUGAAAGAUCAGGAAAGUGACUAACAGCAUGGGAGCCUUGAUGACGCCUAUCAAGUGCAAUAAAUGAAAACACCAGGGAUUGUGGCAGGGAUAACAAAAUGGGCAGUUUAGCACAAUAACUGCCAGCUAUUGUUUUUCAGGCAAAUGACUGUGACUUUGGGAUGAUUAGUCCAUAACCAGAGGAGAGCAAAAACACUAGACAGGAUGAGAAAGGGAUUGUAAAAAACAGGAAAUAAAACCCUCAGACAAACUUCCUAUAGACAUGAAUUUCACCACCAAACCAGUCAAUUAUCAAAUUUCCUCCUCAUGUAUGCCAAAAGAGUCAGCUCAUUUGUACUGAGUUAAAUAUAUUCUUUUAUGUAUAUGCAAUUGUUUGAUCACAAGUUAGCUCUCUUUGGCAGUAAAAAGCUACCUUUUGAUGCUUGAAUAUACCUUCAAACCUACUCUGUACAUCUUCAGGCUGUCCCAUUGGCUUUAUUGGUAGAAAGGACUAGAGGUGAUGUUUCACAAUGGAAUGUAGGCAUUUUCAGCAGAAAAUCACCACUGAUGACAACUCAUCAUAAUGAAAUAAAUGUUAUCCAUAAACUCA